GGCGCUUGUAUGUGUGUCUUUGUUUAAUUUGUACAAAGUCUUACAGACAGGUGCAAACAGUAAAUCUUUUGCAAACCAGAGCUUGCUGUUGAGUAUGAGAUUUUGGUACAUGUAGAAAAAAAAAAA
ensembl:snoRNA